UACGGGGGGUCCAAGCGUUGUUCGGAAUCAUUGGGCGUAAAGCGUGUGCAGGUGGUUUUGUAAGUUGGAUGUGAAAGCCCCGGGCUUAACCCGGGAAGUGCAUUCAAAACUGCAAAACUUGAGUAUGGAAGAGGGUCGUGGAAUUCCUGGUGUAGUGGUGAAAUACGUAGAUAUCAGGAAGAACACCGGUGGCGAAGGCGGCGACCUGGUCCUAUACUGACACUCAUACACGAAAGCGUGGGUAGCAAACAGG
rnacentral:rRNA from 1 species